rnacentral:lncRNA from 1 species
UCUUGAGCAUCGCCAGAGCAAAAUAAUUGACUUCUGUGACAAUUGAUCUUAAGACGUGAGAGUUAUUCGAAUGCUAAUAAAAUCAGUUUCAUAUUUCUCGCUUUCUCGAGGUCCCACUACUACAAAACCCAUGCAAAAAUUUCUUUUGAAUUUUUUCCUUUUCCUUUUUCUAUGUAUUAUGUCACUUCUAUGUAUUAUGUCACUUGACUUAGAUUUUUUCUAAGUCGACUCGGACCUAACCACACAUUUUAUUGAGAAAUUUGCACGCGUAUACUACAAGUUGCUUAGAAAAUAUGAGAGGGGUAUUCACAAAUGAUGGGGGUAUUAGGGCAUCUCCAACACUGGCCCGCAAAUAUGUUCCGGCAUCCGUCCGCGGAUGAGAGGGGGGCAGUGUAACGCCCAAGAUGCGACCCUAUCCUUAUUUUCGCGCGAGGGCCUCGACGGGGAUAGAAGCCCAUCUCAUCGUUUCGCGAGAAUGGAUAUUGUUACAAGUACAUGUACUAAAGAGAAGAGUAUAUGGAAUUGGCUUACACUCCCACAAGCUACAUCAGAGUCACAUCAGUACAAUACAUAAAUAUCACAAGGAAGAGCAAGUCUGACUACGGACGAAAACGAACGAGAAAAGAACGACGUCCAUCCUUGCUAUCCCAGGCUGCCGGCCUGGAACCCAUCCUAGAUCGACGAAGAGGAAGAAGAAGAAACUCCAAAUGAACAAUCAUCGCGCUCACGUCUUAAUAUCACUUUACAUGUACCUGCAACUGGUGUUGUAGUAAUCUGUGAGCCACACGGGGACUCAGCAAUCUCAUUUCCAAAGGUAUCAAGACUAGCAAAGCUUAAUGGGUGAGGUAAGGUUAAAUGGCGAGGCUGCAGCAAGCAACUAAGCAUUUAUUUGGUGGCUAACUUACGAGUACAAGAUUAAAACAGGGGAAAGAUCUACGUAUAACGGACAUGUACUAAUACUGAUCAAAUGAAUGAUCCUGAACACCUACUUACGUCAAACAUAACCCCACUGUGUCCUCGAUCGAAGAAGGAGCUCACGAAAGAGACAGUCACGGUUAUGCACUCAGUUGGCAUAUUUUAAUUAAGCUUACUUCGAGUUAUCUAGAACCGGAUGUUAAACAAAGUUUCCACGUUGUCACAUAACCGCGGGCACGGCUUUCCGAAAGAUUUAACCCUGCAGGGGUGCUCCAACUAGUCCAUCAUAAAUUACCACAGGCCGCAUAGAAAGCUUCGGUCACGAAACUCGUGACUUCGUCGGAUUCCUUAGUGGAAAACCUCAACUCUGAGAUUACCCAAAACAUCACCGGAAUCCCGAUGCACAAGACAUUCGUCAAAGGUAAAACUAAUCCAGCAAGGCCGCCCGACGUGUCGACGAUCCCGAUAGGAGCCGCGUAUCUCGUUCUCAGGACAGGACGGAUGGGUAGGACGUCGGGUUGGCUAAACCCUGGGUGACUAGGGGGCGUCGUACAUCGCCCGGUUUGGACCAACACUCAUGCGGAGCACUGGCCCGGGGGUUGAUUAAUUACUCUGCGGGUGCCGGCGGGUCCCUAUGCAUUUUAUUAGGUUAUUAGGAAAAUGUAGUACCAAAGUUGGGCCUUGCCAGACCAGUUUUAAUCUAAGAGGAAUUAUCAAGGGUGUCCCCAUAACAACCCCGACUGUGUUAGGAGCGCUCAAUUAUGGAACAUAACACCGGUAGCCGAAACUAAGGCGGCAAAGGUGGAACAAAACACCAGGCUAGAAAGGCCGAGCCUUCCACCUUUUACCAAGUAUAUAGGUGCAUUAAAUUAAUUAGCAAUUAAUAGGGUGAUAUGACAAGGAACCCAUGUUAUCACAUGGAAGCAACUGCACCUGCAACUAGCAAUGCUAACACAUGGUUAAGCAAGCAGUAACAUAGCCAAUCAGUGGUUUGCUAGGUUGUGAACAGGUUGAAGGUUUUCAUGGCAAUGUUGGGAGGCUGAUAUUUAACAUGUGGUAGGCAGCAAGACAUAGCGAUAGAAACGAAACAACUAGCAUGGCAAUGAUAGUAAUGGUAUGUGGGGAAAUGGUCAUCUUGCCUGAGAUCCCGCUUGGAAGAAGAACGACUCCGUGAAGCAGACGAACCAAUGUAGUCGAACGGGUCCUCACUUUCCGACACGCUUGCAGAACUCUAUUGAGACGAAGCAAACCGGGAACAAGCAUCAACACAGAUAUUCACCACGGCACAUGCACGACAAGAUGCAAUCCACAUAUGAUGCAUGAUCAGUUUGAAUAUAUGUAAGAC